UAGCUAAUACCGCAUAACGUCUUCGGACCAAAGGGGGCUUCGGCUCCCGCGCAAAGAGUAGCCUAAGCGAGAUUAGCUUGUUGGUGAGGUAAAGGCUCACCAAGGCGACGAUCUCUAGCUGUUCUGAGAGGAAGAUCAGCCACACUGGAACUGAGACACGGUCCAGACUCCUACGGGAGGCAGCAGUGGGGAAUAUUGCACAAUGGGGGAAACCCUGAUGCAGCCAUGCCGCGUGUGUGAAGAAGGCCUUCGGGUUGUAAAGCACUUUCAGUUGUGAGGAAAGGUUAACGGUUAAUACCCGUUAGCUGUGACGUUAGCAACAGAAGAAGGACCGGCUAACUCCGUGCCAGCAGCCGCGGUAAUACGGAGGGUCCGAGCGUUAAUCGGAAUUACUGGGCGUAAAGCGCACGCAGGCGGUUUGUUAAGCUAGAUGUGAAAGCCCUGGGCUCAACCUGGGAAUUGCAUUUAGAACUGGCAGGCUAGAGUUUUGGAGAGGGGAGUGGAAUUCCAGGUGUAGCGGUGAAAUGCGUAGAUAUCUGGAGGAACAUCAGUGGCGAAGGCGACUCCCUGGUCAGUAACUGACGCUCAUGUGCGAAAGUGUGGGUAGCGAACAGGAUUAGAUACUCUGGUAGUCCACACCGUAAACGCUGUCUACUAGCUGUUUGUGGAUUUAAUCCGUGAGUAGCGAAGCUAACGCGAUAAGUAGACCGCCUGGGGAGUACGGCCGCAAGGUUAAAACUCAAAUGAAUUGACGGUGGCCCGCACAAGCGGUGGAGCAUGUG
rnacentral:rRNA from 1 species